UGAGAGAUGUUGCUGCAGGAGAUUUGUGCGGAGAGAUGCCAGUAGAUAAAUUGGUCUUCGAUGCUCAAGAUGAAGAAAGAAUCCCUAAGUAGGAAGAUACUUAUAUUUUCAGAUAAAACUAUGUUCUUGGAACCAGGUGGACCUACCCAUAUCUUACUAUCAUAUUGUUUCUAAGAUGCCCUCUUGCAGUACUGGUGAAGCCUUACAAAGCAGAAUCAACUUCCUGGAAGACCUUUUUGCAAGGACAACUACAUGAUAAACGUAUUUCUGGAGAAAGCAUGAAGAGUAGAAAUUUUACUGCUCAAGCAUUGAUGUCUACACAAUGUAGACACAUAUUUCUGAGCUAAUCAG
ensembl:lncRNA